rnacentral:lncRNA from 1 species
ACAACUUGUUCUGGAUCCCGCUGGGCGUCUAUAGUACUUUCUUAUGCAUUUCCAUCCACAGAUUAAACGCAUUAAAGAUUAUUCUCAAUCAAACAUCAAUCAAAUAGGGAAAUUGUUAAAGGAACACGUUGAGGGGUAGUGUAUCACUCAUACCAAAGAUACGUGGCAGUGAGAAUCUUAUUUUGGUCUGAUCCAACCCUCACCCUCUAAGAUUGCCAUCAAAGCAAUGACCGAUGAUGAAUAAAUACAAUUUUAAUGAUAGACAUAUCAUUCCAGAACGGUAGAGAAAGCUACACUGAAAGAAGUCAUGCAAUAUAUAAUGAAGUAGUGAAUUUCGCUUCAGAUCCAAUCGAUCCCCAUCUUCUCACUGGCCCCUUUAGAUGAAGCUCCUGUAUUGGUGGGUGGAAGGCUCAACCAAUUCUAACUUCCACCACCGACCCUAACUUCGGCCAUUGAACUUGGUUGUGGUUGCCCCUCGCGGCUCCGCCCAUGGAUCCCUAGCCACUAGUACUAGAGUGACACUCGGACAUCGGGCAUCAAUCUAAAAAAGGACCUGAGCCUGAUAUCAUCUCCUACCGAAGGAUCCUAUACCAAUUCCUGCUUCUAGCCGCAAGCUGCCCUCCCUUCAACACUAGUUGGCUACUGCAUUCGAAGAAGUCAACCUUCAUGCCAUCACAUCAAAUCACAUUACCCCACGUGGGGCCAUACCACUCCAACCACUAGCUGCGUGACAAGAAAGACUACAACAAAUCAAGCUAUCCUAUGAGUGGCUAACUAUGCACCAAAUAAGGUGUCAUCCGUCAUCAAAGUCCAAACCAGGAAAAAUGAUUACCUGGACCAUGCCCAAGUAAUCCACCCAAGUCCCAAAUGAAUAACAUGCCACUGCAACCCCUGUAUUUCAUAAAUCCGGACAUCUUAGGUGGUACGGACGAAGAGACUAGAAUGGUCUCCCAUUAUUUUUCUAUUUAUUGCUUUCGCCUCUCUAUAAAUAGAGGUAAAAAGGGAUCCUUCAAGUAUGCACAUGCAUGCACCCUCUACACCUCUCACUCUUCUUCUCCUUUAUUGUAUUUUUUUGACUCGGGCAUCAAAGGGCCUCUGUCGGAACUAACUCCAAUCGGGACUUAUUUUGCAGGUCACCCCCAGUCAUCUCUGGCCACCUCUAGCCACCUCGAUCAGAGUCAGAAAUCUUUCACAAUAGAUUAGCACUAGAGAAAGGGCCCCGCCCUCAUUUUUGGAGAAAGAAUGAGAGAUCUAUAUCAUGGCGCCACAUAAAGGAACAUCCUCCAUCGUUUUAGUGCCGCCAAUUCCCGAUCGAUGGAGAAUUCCACCAACCCACCGGCUUAGGUGCCGCCUUUGGAGGCUCUGCCCUCAACCAGAGUGAUAGUCAACAUGGAGCAAUUUAACCUACUGGUCCAGCAGGUUUAGAAUUUAAUUGCUGCUAUCCAAAUAAUAUAGUAGAGCAAUCCCGCGCCACUGGCCGCUCCACCAUCAGAGCAGGAUCAGGUCCACUGCAAGGCCUUAUGUUGUGGAGACAAACUUGACAAAGCCACCCCUAGGCAUCAAAGCGUAAGACGCGACGAUCCCCAAGUCCUCGCUCUGAACAUGAUUCCACCUCAGACAAAUCCCACUUGCCUUGCUUCGAAGCAUGCACUGUCUGAGAUGUAGAAAUUGACUGCAGAAUUCAAAACAUGAACCAACGAUUGAAGCUCUUCGCAAUCAAGCUCCGAUGCGAGAUGAUCGCUACAACACUGAUCCACCAUUCAGUGCUCGGAUCAUGCAGGAAUCACUUUUCAAUCACUUUAAGAUGCCACAGCUAGAGAGUUACGAUGGAAUCACCGAUCCUGUAGUCAUUUGGAGAGCUUUAAGGCCAUGAUGUUGCUUCAUGACGCCACUGAUGUUGCCUUGUGCCGAGCCUUUCCCUCCACUUUGAAGAGUGUGGCCUGGCACUGGUGCUCAAAUAUGAAAUCCAAGACUAUUCACUCAUUCGACUAGAUUAGUUGAUUAUUUGUGACUCAUUUUGUCAGCAGCUGAUGGCAGCACAAUGGAUUGGACUCAUUGAUCAACAUCAACCAGAAGGAAGGACAGUCACUCUGAUCCUACAUCGGCUGCUUCAAUACAACCAUACUAGAGGUUCGCGACCUAGAUCAAUUGAUUGCAAUGAUCAAUCUGAAGGGCCGACUUUUGAAGAAUGGUCUCUGAUAUUCACUGAAAAAGACCUACCCCACGAUUUUAUGAAAAUACUAGCUCGAAAGAAAAAAUAUAUCCGAGAAGAUGAAGCCUUUGAAAAUAAGCCCCCGAGCCCCCGAGUGUAGAAGAAAGAAAAGAAGAGAAAGUCAAGAAGCCUCCAGCGAAGAAAAACUAUGAAAAGAGUCAGUGGUGUUCCCAAUCUCUGCCCAAGCAUUGGAGGAUCUGAAUCCCUCCAUGGAACUACCAACACAAGAGUCUUAUUAGAGGGGGGCGGUGCAUGACUCCGCUAAGAAGGUUCACGAAUUACACUACGUUGAAUGCUCGCCAAACUCAAGUGCUAAUAGAAAUAAAGGAGAAGCUCCCAAAGAGAUGAAGAUGAGGAUAAAGCUGGGUCAGCACAAUUCUAAAAAGUAUUAUCUCUACCACCAUGACCACGGCCAUGACAUAAAGGAAUGCAUCCAACUUCGAGAGAAGAUUGAAGAGUUUAUUCAUCGCAGGUGCUUGGACCAAUUCAUUAGGUGCAGGCAUGAAUAGUAUGAUGAGUGGUGGGCGAAACCCUGACAGUUAGAACAACAACAAGGAGAGCCUUCCAUGGAUCGACCCUAAUCGGAUUUAUCAAUACCAUCACCAGAGGACAUUGUGCUGUUGAGACAAGAGGAGUCGUCGAACCUUUCAAAAGGCAGAGAACUGAAGAACCGAUAAUUUUUACUGGAGAAGAUACCCAAGGAGUUCAGUUUUCGCACAAUGAUACAGUGGUUGUAUCCCUUAACAUAGAUAACUAUCAUAUACGCCGUAUUUUGGUUGAUAAUAGAAGUAUAGCCGACGUGUUGUUUUAUGAUGCUUUCUCCAAAAUAAUCAUAUCCCCUAAGCGGCUAGGGCAAUGGACUCCUCCCUCAUGGGGUUCACGGGUGAUGUGAUGUCCAUCGAAGGGGUUAUUACUUUGCCUGUGGUCGUCGGAUGAUCCCCUUGAUGAUCUACAGCUUAGGUUGACUUUCUUGUGGUUCAAGCACCAUCGGCCUACAAUACAAUCAUCGAACAUCCCAGACAUAACAAACUCCGAGCAGUAGUAUCCACAUACUACCUAAAAAAUGAAGUUUCCAACUGAGUUUGGAGUUGGUGAGGUUUGAGAAGACCAGACCCUAGCCUGACAAUGCUACACAAUCAUGCUCUAUGACGUAAGACCAUCCAAAGUAUAUCCAACCGACGGGCUGGACACCCACGAUGAACGCACAAAGGAAUGCAGAGAACCAAUAGAAGACCUUGAGAUGAUUCCACUGAAUAAUGGAUCGAGUCAAACCUGAAUCAAGUAACCAAGAAACAUCUCGUUUCCUUUUUGCAGAAAAAUAUGGAUAUAUUUGUCUGGACCUCAGCUGACAUACCAAACAUUGAUCAUAUGGACAUGACACACUGACUGAGUGUUAAACCAACUUAUCAAUCUAUCAAAUAAAAGAAGAGAAGUUUCAUGCCUGAGCGGCAAAAGGCGAUAGCCGAAGAAGUAGACAAAUUGCUCGAUGCUGGCUUCAUCCAAAAAAUAACCUACCCUAACUGGAUAGCAAAGGUGGUCCUUGUGAAAAAGAAAAAUGACAAAUGAUAGAUCUGCAUCGACUUUAUCGACUUAAAUAAAGCAUGCCCGAAGAACAGCUAUCCACUACCUCUGAUCGAUCAACUGAUGGAUGCUAUUUCAGGUUAUGAACUCCUCAUCUUCAUAGAUGUCUUCUCCAGAUAUAACUAAAUUUAGAUGGCAUUUGAAGAUGAGAAGAAAAUAGCUUUUAUUAUUGACCAAGUCUUUUUUGUUAUAGGAUUUUGCCCUUUGGCAUAAAGAAUGUGGUGCAACUAAUUAGCGCCUUAUGAAUAAGAUUUUCAAAGACUAGAUAGGAUAAAAUAUGGAGGUCUAUAUAGAUGAUAUGCUUAUUAGAAGUAGAGCCUCGUAAACCCAUGUUAAAGACCUCAAAGAAACUUUCGAAAGUAUUGGAUGAAGCUGAACCUGGUGAAGUGUGCUUUUAGAAUUAUUUCAGACAAGUUCCUAAGGUUUAUGAUCUCAAGUCAAGAGAUUGAAGCCAACUCCAAGAAGAUCAGGGCUAUACGAAAAAUGAACCCAUCAAGAACUGUAAAAGAGAUUCAACGCCUUACCGAUCGAGUGAUGGCACUAAAUUGGUUCAUCUCUGGAUAGGCCGAGCGCUGCCUCCCCUUCUUUCAGGUCCUGAAGUAGUCUAAGAAUUUUUGAUGGACCGAACAGUGCUAGCGCCCAUUUGAGGAGCUGAAAAGUUAUCUGGAUUCUAUGCCACUCUUUAGAAAGUCGAAACUAGAUGAAGAACUCUAUUUAUAUUUGCAAGUCUCUAAGGUCACUGUGAGCACCGUACUAGUUCGAGAGCAAGACAAAAUUUAAAAGGCAAUCUAUUACAUUAGCAGCGUUGGGCUUCGGUUGCACAGUAAAAUAUGAUUUUCAAUAUUUUAACAUGCAUUUAACUAUUGAAAAUAAGUUUUAAUAUUUAAAAUAUGCUAACCGGAGUAUAAAUCCUAGGAACAUUAUGAUGAUUACAAUCAAACAUUUUAAGCAUGCAAUAAGAUAAGAGAUUAUACUUUCUUAAAGAUAAGAAUCUGAUGAUUAAUGAUCUCCACAAGACACCAAAGUAGACGCCCUCCAAUGGUGAUCCACAUAGGACAGAUUAGGGUCCUUCCCAAUUCGAUGUAGUGCUACAGUCUUCUUCACAAGUCUACUGCUGAAUUUCUUCUUUAGGAACAGUUUGCACCACCACUUGAUUGCCCUCUAUCCUCCACUAGAACCAUAUCAGAGAUCUUUUUUCAAACGAUCUCACCACACAAAUCAGAUUCAGAUGUCCAACACUUGAACAAUCUAAACCCUAGGACAAGCGACAAUUGCCUUCCAUUUUCUUUCUUGAUUACCUUUCUAUUUUUCUCUCCUCUUUUUCUUAUCUUUUUAUUUCCUUUUCUUUUCUGAUUUUUUUCUCUUCUUUUUCUCACGUGAUCUCAUGCCUAAACCCUUAGGAUUGGAUGCCAUAUCCCAAUUGAGCACCCCUUAAAUAAGGAAUGAAGGGGCGCCUCAUACAAUUGUGAGCACCAAUUCUUGGCAUUCCACCUUUCUCAUGCAGUGAAUUAUUCACUGGAGAAAUUAGUUAGGUAUGAAAGAAGAGGAGUUUCAUAGGUAGGACUCCUCCUCUAUGCACAGAAACUAAGGUGCCAUCAGAUGGCGCAUCCAUAAAGAAUUAGAGUGGAAUUAAUGGGAAUACGAAAGGUUGUUAAGAGACUUAAACAAGGACUCUCCUUCUUAUUAACACCAAUAUGUGUGGCGCCACAUUUAUUUUGCAUGGAAUAAAUGGCAUGGAGGUGGUUUAUUCAGAUGGAACUCUUUCAUACAAAUCAGAUAAGCUACCUAAUAUUCCAUAAGUUCAAACCUAAUCCAAUUAGGUUAAGAUAAUAGGAUUAGAGUUAGCAUAAACAUCUUUGCACCAAAUCCAAUUGAAAACUUGGAUUAAUUCAUGUGCUAGCAAUUUAAUUAACCCAUAGAAUUUAUAAUAAAUCCAAAUAUAUUAGAUCAAGAUCAAAUUUUUAAUGUGUGUGACCCAUUGAGUUUCAUAUCUAGCCAGCAGUGGAUUCAGGCUCAUGAUCUAAACCAAUCCGAUUAGAUUAGGUCAGUCCAAAUGCAUCAAUUAAUCAGAAUACUUUCUAAUUAAUUUUCAUAUUAAACUCUUUUAAUUCUUGCAAUUUCACAAGUCAAGAUUAAUAUCUAGCAACACAUCAUGACUAUCCAGAAGAUAUAAAAUUUAUUAAAAAUAUCAAAAUUAUCUUUUUAUGAUGAGUUAUCGUGCAAUUCAAUCUUUCGAUCACACAAUAUUCGAAACAGGCCAUGGGCAUGGAAUUAUGUCAAGUCCAAAUACCUAUCCAUAUAUAUCUCGAUCUGAUGAUGAUGACUCGAUUGAUGAAUCAAUAGAAAUACUUUCGACUGUUCAUCCUUACUCUAGUCAGAGACUCUCUGAGUUAUCAUCCUCUGAAAUGAUAUAGGAUGUUCUCUCCUCUUAUAAGGAGUGACUGAUUUCUUGUUGAUCACUCACAACUUUCAUGCACACUUCACUAUACCCACAACAUUCUACAUAUGUCUUAAAGAGUCAUGCUAGAGUAUAAAUUAAAGUAUGAAUCCACAUAUAUAAGGUACCAUUAUGAUAUCAGAUCUAAAGAUCACUUGCAUCACUUUCACUAGAGAACCAUCUUUUGAUAUGCUGUAAGACUCCAUCAGAUGUUCUCCCUAUGGAUCAGUUCAAUGAACUUAUUCUCUAAUGAGCACCUAUAUCUUUGUAUUAGUAUCACUACAUAAGUGAUUAUGAGAUCAAUCAUCCUUUUCAUUGAGCAUACAUAGGAUGUACCAGGCUUACAAGCAUAUCGAUCUCUGAUUUGAUGAUCCUACGACUGAAAAUAUUUUAGACUAAGACUAUCAAGAUUUUAAAUCUUACUGACAUGAUCUCAUCAUGAUCCUAAAAUCAUUAUCUUAAUCUAUAGUAUUCAUUAUAAUCAUAAAUAAAAAAUAAUACAGCAAAUGAUGAAACACAGUGCCUUAUAUAUAAAAUAGCUAAUAUCAUGCACAUGAGUAGAAAGAUAAUACAGAAUAGCCCCAUCACAUCACCCAUAAGAUUGACUUAUAGGAUACUAUUCUUUCAAUCUCCUACUUGCACUAAAGUCAAUCGUUCCUGUACCUGAUGCCCAUGCAAUCAAGGUGGUGAUCACACUGCUGUUAUGAUUGGGCUUAAUGAAUAGGUCUACUAUACAGUUCUGUAUAUCAACUCACUGUAUGAUCACAUCAUAAAUGAGAUGAAAGUGCUUUAGGAUGUGUGGAUUUCAGGUAAGACCACAUCUAACUCAGUGAUGAACCCUUUCAUUAAGCGACUUUCUUAGCAAUCUUCACUUGUAGCAAUUAAUUGAGUCAAUUAUAGUUCGCUGUUUAGAACUCUUCCAAUUUACUACUCUAGUACUUCUCAAGUGUUGGAAAAAUAUAUUUUUUUAGUUUUCUAAUGAUCCUAUCCUGGAUCUGCCUGAAAUCUAAUGGUUAUGCCCUAGGCAUAAGCCGCAUCAGGCUUGGUACAUAAUAUACAUGGGUAAGUAAACACUUUUACACCCAUUUAUGUUGAACAUCUUCAACACAAAAUAUAUGUAUCUAGACUAGGACAAACCUAGCAUCCAUUUAGAUCUAUCUCUAUAGAUACCAAGUAUAUCAGAUGCUUCAGCCAAGUCUUUCAAGAAAAAUUUCUGUAAUAGUAAGGUAUUGACUGAUUGCAACAUCAAGAUAUCAAUCUCAAUAUGCAGUAUGUCAUCCACAUACAGAACCAAAAAGUCAAUGGGACUCCUAUUUGUCUUCUUGUACAUACUUGAUUCAUUCAUAUUUUUAAUAAAAUUAAAUAAUUUGACUGUCUCAUCAAAAUGGACAUAUCAACUCCUCGAUGUCUGUUUUAAUCCAUAAAUGGAUUUGUUUUCUUACUAGAGACAAACUCUCUAGAUGAUAUGCAACUAUAGCAAGCAACAUCCGAUGGACAUUCCUGUUAGCAACCUAUGGGUCACACCCACAAGUGCUUCAACCAAAAUCCAUACUUGAUUGGUACACCGAGAGUCCAUCAUGGAUUUUAUAGCUUCAAGCCAUUUGUCAGAGUUCCUAGGUCAUAGGAUCAUCAUUCUUAGUGAUGUAUGGUGUAUUACCAUUCUUAAUGACAAAUCUAUAUUAGAGUAGGACAUUACAUACUUUGCUUGACCUUCAGAGAGGAGGUGUGUGUUGUAGUUGUACCUCAUCAAUGGGCACAUUAGGUCGAGAAUCAUUUUGUAGAUACUCUACGGGUUAUAGUGGGAUAGUUCAUAGGUCUUGAACUUCUCAAGUUCAAUUAUUCUCCCAUUACCCCUUCUUGGAUAAACUCUUUUUUUCUAAAAAGUGGCAUACCUACUGAUAAAAUAUCUUUUAUUUAGUAGAAUGGUAGAAGUAGUAUCACAUACUACUCUUAGGAAACCUACAAAUUUGUACUUAUUUGAUCUAGCACAAAACUUAUAUACAUCAAUUUUUUUCACAUAAGUUGGGCAACCUGCCUCUUUCCUUUUCGUAUCACAUAUGGAGUGUUAGUAACAGAUUUUAGUGGUACCUUAUUUAAAAUAUAUAUAACAAUUUCUGGGGCAUAUCCAUAGAAUGAGUUUGGAAGGUCUGUGAAGCAUAUUAUAGAUUGCACUAUAUCUAAUAAGAUGCAGAUCCUUCUUUCCGCAAUACCAUUUAAUUGUAGAGUGUAUAGAGAUAUCUAUUUAGAGAGAAUUUUAUUAUCAAGAAACUUGCUAGUUAAGUAUUUUCUCCUUCGAUCUGAUCGAAGAGCUUUAAUACUUCUACUAAUUUAUUUCUCAAUGAUUCUUUAGUACUCUUCGAACUUAUUAAAGAUUUUAGAUUUGUAUUUCAUUAAAUACAUAUAUCCAAAUCUUGAUAAAUCAUUAGUAAAUAUGAUGAAGUAGGAGUAUCCACCGUUGGUUUGAGUUGAUAUUGGGCCACAAACAUUCAUAUGUACUAGACCCAAUAAGUCACUUGCUCUAUCUCCAUGUCCAAUAAGUAGAGUCUUGGUCAUCUUAUCCAUGAAACAAGAAUAUGAUUCAAAAAUCAUACAGAUCAAAGAACUCUUCUUUGUAUUACUUAUUUAUUUUUGACUCACUAAUAUGGCUAAGUUGGCAAUGUCAGAGUUAUAUGAUAUUCACAUAUUUUUUUUUCCUCUUAUUUUUAUCAAUAUGAAGAACAUCAUCAUUGAGUGAUAGAAACAUGAGACCAUUAUCAUUCAUUCCAUAGCCAUAAAUUUUCAGAAAGAGAGCAACUUUUGCUAUUAACAUUAAUUUCAAAAUCAUGUUACAAUAACAAAAGAAUUAAAAUAUAUUUCUAAUAAAUUUAGAUAUAUAAUAAUAGUUUACUAGUUUCAUAAUCUUGUCAGAAGGCAACAUUUACAAAUAGAUUCCUUUAGCUUCAGCCUGAAUGGACUCUCCACUAGUGCCAAAUAAUAUGAGGUCACCUUUCUUAUUCCUUGCAGUCCCUACAAUGAUUUGCAUAAGUGAGACCUACAGAUGGUAUCUAAUACCCAAUAAUCUAAAGCUGAAGUACUUAAUGAUAAAUUAGUCUGUAUCAUAUACAAACCAUUAUCAGACGUGACUUUUGCAUCCUGCUUUUGCUUACACUUACAAGAUAACUCUUGUAAUUUUUUUUCAUUACCCAUCAUUGCUAUAAUGAAAAUAGAUACCUUUGGUGGAGACAUUCUUUGCCUUAUUUUUUUGAAUAAUGCUAAAGAAGAAAUCCAAAAGAGUUAGCAGGAUCAAAUUCUGGAUUAACUCACUAUCCAUCACAAGAAUCUAACUGACCUAAUUGCAUGAUUAAGUCAAUUAAGAUACACUUGACAGUCAUACUGUCAACCCAUCAUAUCUCAUAUAUGAUUUUUCUUUCUCGAAAGCAUCAUUUUCGAUUGAAUUAGAAUCAGAAGAAUAGGAGACUAUCUCCUAAGUAAGAACUAUUCUCAGAUUUCUCAACCAGUCCAUGAGGUUCGAUCAAUUUAAAAGGCAUCAAAUAUACCUUGCAGUGAUAGUAAAGAUGAAGAUAUAUUUAUAAGAAUAUAAAAGGACUACUCAUGAUAAUAUGCAUAAUUUAGAUGAGAUCUUUUAUCUAAUCAUAUCUCUCACUAAUUUAGUAAAUUCUAUAGCCCUCUAGUAUGGAAAAUGAGAAACCCUAUCGUUAGGUUCUUUAGUGGGGUUGAGAUCCCAAUUUCUCUUUAAAAGCCUUAUGGUUGCACAAUAAAUCUUUGAGGAGUUCAUAGAUAAGAAACUAUUUUCAAUUGCAUCUCAUGCAAUUUCCAACAUAACUUUUGCCUCUAAAAUACUUGUAGUCUUGUGGUUGCAUAACAAACUAUAAUAUUUUAGUUAAGUCGUAUCCUUCAUUAUCAUAUGGUCAUAUCUGAAUAAUACUAUUCUUGUGGAUAGCAUAAUAAGAUAGCAGUAUCCAAAUAUACCAUAAGCAUCAUUAUGCAUCAAGAUAGUAUCACAUCAGUUCUCACAGCAAGUCUUGUGGUUGCACAAUAAACCUACUGUAGUUCCUGACAUAAUAUUGGCUUAGCAUAAAGGAAAGCAUGAGGUAGUUUUCUUAAUACUUCACCAUUAUGACUUAAUAUAAUUUAAAUAAGGGACUUAUGUCUCAUGCACGUCCAUAACAUAUAAAUCUAUCACAUGCAAUUUAUAUUUAAUUCUAACUACUAGCAUAUAAGAGCAUAUAAAAGAAAUCGAAUGGUUUUGGACUUUUCAAGUAUGAUCCAUCCGAGCCACUUGGAUGAAUUAUGAGUCACAUCCUGGUACAUCAUAGACUGAACCAUCUUAUGGUCAAUCUUCAUGCACCUCUACUCUCUAAUUAUCUGAUAGUCCAGUUUUCAUCUUCAUAAAACUAUGACGAAUACUCCAUCUUCUUUAUUUAUUUAUAAAUAAAAAAUAAUUUUUAUCUAUUUUUAAAUAAAAUUUUUUAUCUUUAAAUUUUACAUCAAUGUGUAAAAGUUUCAAUCAGCAGUUCAGAAUAUACAUAGAAAGGAAUAGAAAGAUACAGCUAAAAAUACAAUGCAUCAGGAGCACCUAGCCCCUAUUAUAACUAUGCAGAUAUACCUAUACAAUCAGCUAACAUAGAAAGAUUCAUAAAUACAUCCAUCACAUGGGUGUAUCCUAGUCCAAAACUAUCUAUCAUACAAUUUAUAACAAUUUAUUAAGGAUGAUAACAAACUUCCCAUGUUAUUCUAAUAGUAAUAUCAUUUAUGAUCAUGUCACUUAAGAUGUUUAAAUUCAUGGGCACAGGACCCAUCUAGAAUUUUUGAUUCAGAUUCAACUCUUGAUCCAAUCUUAAUUUUAAGUCAACCAUAUGUCACCCUCUUGAGAUAAGUUAAUCAUUUCUUAAAUAAACACUUAAUCAAAUUAGGUUUGUAAAGAUUCGAUCUACUAUAACUCAAGACCUAAUCAAAUUGGGUUAAUGACAAUUAAGUCAACAAAAUUUUUAAACUACUUAGAACUAUGAAUCUGAUUUGAUCUACAAUCAUUAACCUUAAUUAUAUUGGGCCAAUAAAUUAUAGUCAAAUCAAAUCCAUCAUCAAAAAUCCUAAUUAUUUUUUGGAGUAUCUUUCUAUCAGGAAUAGAUUUUUUAGCCACCCACGUGCCGAGGACAAGAACCAUAAUGGAAGACCCACCAUGAUGAAUGCCCAAUCUAUGGUGGCUGGCACUUGGGUCUAGGGUGAAAGCAUCACAUGCAACAACCUUAAUUCUUGGCUAUGUACAUCACAUGUAGCAUUCUAAGGUUCCACGCAUCGCAUGCACAAGACUUAUAAUUCUAUGAAAAAUAGAUCACAAGAUCUAUCCUAAACUUGUCACACAAGUCUAAAUGUCAUAGAAUUUUAUACCAAGGUUUGAUCAUGGACUAAUAACUUUUAUUCUUGACCAAAGAUAUACCAAAUCAGCAAUUAAACACCAAUUAGAAAAUCUGAUUUUGUCAUAACAUGAAUUUAAUUCAAUCAAUAUCACAACAAUAACAUGAUAUUUGAUUGAAUCAAUCAAAGAUGACUCUGAUACCACUGUUGGAUUUUGGUUAUACAACAAAAUACGAUUUUCAAAAUUUUAACAUGCAUUUAACUAUUGAAAAUAGGUUUUAGCAUUUAAAGCAUGCUAACCGGAACACAAAUUUUAGGAACACCAUGAUAAUUACGAUCAAACAUUUCAAGCAUGGAAUAAGAUAAGAGAUUAUACCUUCUUGAAAAUGAGGAUCCGAUGAUCAAUGAUCUUACAAGACACCAAAGUAGGCACCCUCCAAUAGUGAUCCACAUGGGAUAGAUCAAGAUCUUUCCCAAUUCGAUGUAGUGUUGUAGUCUUCUUCACAAGUCUACUGCUAAAUUUUUUUUAGGAAUGGGUUGCACCAUCAUUUGAUUGCCUUCUAUCCUCCAUCGGAACCACACCAGGAAUCUUUUCUCAAAAGAUCUCACCACACAAAUCAGAUUCAGAUGUUCAAUACUUGAACAAUCUGAACCUUAGGACAAGCAACAAUUGUCUUCUAUUUUUCUUCUUGAUUUUCUUUCUAUUUUUCUCUUCUCUUUUUCUUAUCUUUUUCUUUCUUUUUUUUCUAAUUUUUUUCCUUUUUUUAUAUGAUCCCUCACCUAAACCCUUAGGAUUAGAUGCCAUAUCCCAUAUGGAGCACCUCUUAAAUAAGGAAUGAAGGGGUGCCUCAUACAAUCCCAAGGAGCGCCAACUUUUGGCAUUCCACCUUCCUCAUGCAUUGAAUUAUUCACCAAGAAAAUUAGUUAGGCAUGGAAGAAGAGGAGUUUCACAGACAGAAUGACUCCUUCUCUGCAUAGAGAAACCAAGGCUCCAUCAGAUGGUGCAUCCCAUAAAGGAUCAGAAUGCAAUUAAUGGAAAUAUGGAAGGUUGUUAAGAGACUUAAACAAGAAGGACUCUCCUUCUUAUUAAUGCCAAUAUGUAUGGCACCUCAUUUAUUUUGUAUGGAAUAAAUAGCGUGGAGGUGGUUUAUUUAGAUGGAACUCUUCCAUACAAAUCAGAUAAGCAACCUAAUAUUCUAUAAGUUCAAACUUAAUCCAGUUAGGUUAAGACAAUAAGAUUAGAGUUAGUACAAACAUCUUUACACUAAAUCCAAUUGAAAAUUUGGGUUAAUUCAUAUGCUAGCAAUUCAAUUAACCCAUAGGAUUUACAAUAAAUCCAAAUAGAUUAGAUCAAGAUCAAAUUCUUAAUGUGUGUAACCCUUUGUGUUCCAUAUCUAGCCAGCAAUGGACUCAAGCUCAUGACCUAAACUAAUCUGAUUAGAUUAGGUCAGUCCAAAUGCAUCAUUUAAUCAGAAUACUUUCUCAUUAAUUUUUGAAUUAAACUCUUUUGAUUUUGAUGAAUCCACAAGUUAAGAUUGAUGUCUAGCAAUAUGUCAUAACUAUCCAAAAAAUAUAAAAUUUGAUAGAAAUAUCAAAAUUAUCCUUCCGUAGUGAGUUACCGUAUAAUUUAAUUCUUCGAUCAUACAACAUUCCAGACAGACCAUGGGCAUGAAAUCAUGUCAAGUCUAAAUAUCUAUCCAUAUAUUUUCUGAUUUGAUGAUAAUGACUCGAUUGACAAACUAGUAGAAAUACUUUCUACUGUUUAUCUCUGCUCUGGUCAGAGACUCUAAGUCAUUAUCCUAUAAGACGGUAUAGGAUGUUCUCUUCUCUUAUAAGGAUUAACUGAUUUUUUAUUGACCACUCACAACCUUCAUGCAUAUUUCAUCAUACCUAAAAUAUCCCAUAUAUAUCUCAAAGAGUCUACUAGAGUAUAAACCAAAGUAUGGAUCUACAUACAUAAGAUAUCAUGGUGAUCUUAGAUCUAAGGAUCACUUGCACCACUCUCACUGGAAAACUAUCUUUUGACAUACUGUAAGGCUCCAUCAGACGUUCUCUCUGUGGAUUAGUUCAGUAAACUUAUUCUUCAAUGAGCACUUACAUUCUUGAUUAGUGUCACCACACAAGUUAUUGUAAGAUCAAUCAUCCUCUCCAUCGAGCAUACAUAGGAUGUACCAGUCUUACUGGCAUCAUCGAUCUCUGACUCGAUGAUUCUAUGAUUAAAAAUAUNNNNNNNNNNNNNNNNNNNNGGAGUUUGUCAUAAUCAUAAAUAAAAUAUGAUACAAUAAAUGAUGAAAUACAAUACCUCAUAUAUAAAAUAGCUAAUAUCAUACACAUGGGUAGGAAGAUAAUACAGAAUACUCCCAUUGCAUCACCCAUGCGAUUGGCUUGUUGGACACUAUUCUUUCAAGUAGAACUCUCUAUAAUACUAAGACCAGGUACAUCAGAUUGGAGAAACUUAUCAUUACCCUUGUCAUUGCCAUCCAAAGGCUUCGGCCCUACUUUCAAGCACACCCCAUCAUCAUCUUGAUGGAUCAACCUUUAAAAAUGGCCUUACAUCGGCCCAACACAUUUGAUCGACUGACUAAAUGGACAAUUGAGCUAGCAGAGUUUGGAGUGAAACUCAAACCUCGACCUUCUAUCAAAUCUCAAGAUUCGGACAUACUUUAUCAUGGAUUGCACCAUCCUGAAGGACCAAGAAAGGCCUGAAUCAGUCUAAGAAAGGAUUAAAUCUAUUGAACAAGAUGCCUCUGAAGAACUAGGUUAAUUUUGGGUGGUGCACAUGGAUGGAUCCUCCAACUCUAUUGGAUCAGGAGCAGGUUUGUUACUUCUUGGGUCGGGAGGAGUCGUUGUUGAGUACAUUUUGAGGUUCGACUUCCCAACAACCAACGAUGAGGCUGAGUUUGAGGUUCUCAUCAUAGGAUUGUGGAUCGUAAAAUAACUCGGAGUGCAGAAACUGAGGAUCCGCACCAAUUUUCAAUUGGUGGCAGGGCAAGUGAAGGGAGAGUAUGAAGCAUGGGAGGAAUGCAUGAAAAAAUAUCUCUAAAAGGUAAAAAAUCUAAUCCCAUCAUUCGCUGAUUUUGAUAUUCAAUGGGUGCCUCGGGAGAAAAAUUCAAUAGCCGAUUUGUUGUCCAAAUUGGCAACUUCGGCACCAAAGGAUCUACAUCGAAGAAUAUUCUUUGAGGUCCUGAAGGAGGCUAGUAUCAAAUAAUUGAUCCUGAUCCUGUAGAUUGAUGUUGAAUCCUAUCGGAUGGAUCCGUUCAUCCACUUUCUACAAGACGAGAUACUAACCUCAGACUCCAAGGGGGUUCGGAGAGUCAGACAUCAAGCCCCUCGUUAUAUCCUUUAUGAGUGCAAACUCUAUAAGUGGUCAUUCUCACUCCCGCUCCUCGAAUGUCUUCACCCCUUUGAAGUUGAUUAUGCCUUUAGAGAGGUGCAUGAGAAAAUAUGCAGAAACCACCUAGGUAGUAAGACAUUGGUCUACAAGUUACUGCGACAAGAAUAUUACUGGCCCAUGAUGCAAGAAGAUGACGCCGGCUUCACCAAAUGCUAUGAUCGAUGCUAGAGGAAUGUCAAUGUCCCAUACCAAUCAACUGUUCCAUUGAUCCCAAUCAGUGCCCUUUAGCUUUUCAUGCAAUGGAGGAUGGACAUUUUGGGGCUUUUCCCAUAAGCAUCGGACCAAAGAAAACUUUUGCUUGCCGCCAUUCGCUACUCUAUAAAAUGGAUGGAAGCUGAAUCCCUUGCCAAAAUCACUAAAGCCAAAGUAAAAGAUUUCAUUUGAAAAUCUAUAAUUUGUCACUGUGGUCUUCUAUGGGUGUUAAUCACAGACAAUGGCCAUCAAUUCUCCAGCUCCAAAUUUAAUGACUCUGUUAAAGCCUUCACAUUUCUUAUCACUUUAAAUUUGUAGGACAUCCAUAGGCCAAUAGAGAAGCUGAGGUUACCAACCGCACACUCUUGUAGGGGUUGAAGGCUAGAUUGGAUCAGACCAAAGGAUCCUGGGUGGAUGAACUGCUUUAGACCUAUUGAACCACCCAAAGGGUACCCAGGGAAGAGACUCCUUUCAGCCUUUUCUUUGGGAUGAAAGCGGUUAUCCUAGUGGAAAUCAGACUUUCAUCUCUGCGGGUUAAGAACUAUAAUGACCAAGAUGAUGCAGAAAUACUUCAGUUCAUCCUAGAUUUACUUGAAGAAGUUUGAGAAAAGGUAUAGAUGAGGAUGGCAGCUUACCAGCAUCGGAUAGCAUGAAACUAUAAUUCUUGCAUCCGCGGCAAAGAAUUUAGAGUCGGAGAUUUAGUCCUACGAUGCAUCGAAGUGUCACAACCCAUAGAGUAAGGAAAGUUAUCUCCUAAAUAAGAAGGCCCCUACCUAGUAGAUGAAGUCAUCAGGCCCAGGAUGUAUCAUCUAAAACAACUGGACAGAAUGCUCUUACCUCGGUGAUAAAAUUCGGAGAAUCUUCGAAUGUAUUAUCAUUGAUGUAAUAUUUACUUUUUAAUAAAUUAACCUUCUUAGGACCGUCGUUCUUCUCCCAAUUUUCAAUGGUGACCCGAUCCCCAUGCAAAUCCCCAAGAGCUAGGAAAAAGUGUUUGGCCUAUCGGACCCUCACAAGCAUAUCCCUAGAGCAGCUAUCCGAUGGCUUUUCGAUAAUGCGGUCUCAGCAAACUUCAGAAAAGGCUACCACUAUAAAAUAAAGAACCCAUCUACAAAGAAGGUAGACACAAAAGUUCUCUUUUCAUUUCCUUCAAAUAUUUAUAUUUACAAAAGCAGCACUAUGAAAGUGCCACAACAACAAAAAAGAAAAGAAAAAGGGGGAGAGCAGGGGGGCCAAAAAUGGGAUGAAUAGUCAAGGCCUAAUCAUCAUCUUUCGAGAAAAAUACUCUGACUUCUUCAUCACUAUUCUCCAAAUGGAGUUGAUGUAAGGCCAACUAUGGCAUUUGAUACUUGAUGCGGGUCUUGUAGUUCUCAAAGCCCUGGAUGAAUCCACUGCAGAGGUAUUGAGGCGCUGCCCUUUGAAGACCUCAGAGAUCUUGUACUCCACGAUACAGCAGAGUCUUGCUUCGGUGAAGGCUUCAGCCGUGGUCCCCUAGUGGGCUACUCCUCCCAGAAUAGAGGACCCCUCACCGAGGGCCCUCGGAGGAAUCGACUCUGAUAGGGGAGCCUUCGCCCUGUUGGGCAAAGACUUUCGCAAGUGCCUAGCAUUUUUCUUCGCAACCUCUUUCAUGAGUUUGGUGAUGGCUCCAUCACUGUAAAUCACUUAGGAAGAACUAAUUGGGGCUCUCAGAUGGAUGCCCCAACUGCAAGGGAGGCUUUCUAUUUACAUAGGUUUCAGGUGGUGUACACCCAACCAUUUGGCAAUCAGACUGCGCCAUGCGUGUGAUUUUGAAAUGCCAAUCAUCGUAGCCAUUAACUGUGCAUUUUCGUUACUAAGAAGUAACCAGUGAGAUGCCCUGGGAACCACUUCAACUCACCAUGUGGCAAUCAGAGAUUGGCCCAAGAUAAAUUCUCAGUCUGCUCCCUGGGAAAGUCUCAUUUGCAAUUAUGACAAACGGAGUUCCAAUGCACAUCGUGGACUGGUGCCUGGGUUCCCGAUAAGCAAGCUCAUGGUCAGACUUUGACCAAUGCAAAGCCAACUAUUGAAACCCCUCAAACGCAUUUAGGAUAAACUUUAGGUACAUCAUCAAUGAUGUACUAUCUUCUAAUGAAACAAUCCUUUUCCAAGGCAUGAUCGCUCUUCUCUCAAUCUUUGUCAAAGACCUUGAUGACUAAGAAACAGGGGCUAACCCAUAGAGGACUCUUGACUCCUCUCUUUUUAGCGAGUUGAGCAUUGGAAGGCCUUAGUCAUAUGGAAAGCGAAGGCUAAUCCAUUAAGCACCUUCGGAGAGGGACUAACCAAAAAGGACCCCCAGUAUCUACCAAUUCAAACUAUAUGAAUUGAAGACCUUGGCGAUUAAGAAGCAGAGGCUGACCCAUAGAGGACCCCUGACUCCUCACUUUUCAGUGAGUUAAGCUUCAGAAGACCUUAGUCAUAUGGGAAGCGAAGGCUAACCUAAGAAAAUCUUCAGAGGGCUAACCUAUAAGAAUCCUAAGAGCCUGUCAGCUCCAACCAUUCGAGAUUAAAAUCUCGACCGAACUCCAGGAGCUUCUUGGAAAUGCUUCAUCUCCAGACGAAUAUAACCAUGAGAAGAGCAUUUCAUUUAUGAGCACGAAGACGGUCAAAAGAUACCCUUUAAAAAAUAAAAUCGUAAGAUCUGACAACCGCAAGCAUAAAAGCUAGGGUCCAAAGGCCGCAUGCGUAUAAGCUACGGCAUACAUGUGGCCAAAGCAGACAAUACCUAUCACUGGGACGAGCCCUCAAUCCUUCAAAUCCAGUCUGAUGCCCCUCCUUACCCCCAGGAAAGUUGAGAGAGAGCAUUCUUCAUCCUGAAUAAUAUCAUCGGCUUCAGCAAAUUAUCAGAUAUCGAACAAGGUAUAUCGACAGCAGCUACGUAGCACCUAAAGAUGAAAGAAAAUAUAAAAAAUAAUAUUUACUCCUUGAAAGUCAAAUCAUCAUUACAAAGGCAACAGUAAAAGGGCAAAUAUAAAGAGUAAGGAUGACAGCUUCAGCAAGUUUAGGCCACACCAAUAAGCCACUAAGGGUCCCUAUGUUGGGACCCUCCCAUUGGUAGGGGUUGCAACCCCCCUGAGCACCACUUCAAUAGCCGCAUGGCCAUCCCUCUUGGAAGCACGUAUCUCCCGGACACAUAGACGGAGAUGCCUGUAGGGACACAUUUGCCAAUUGGACAUCCCGUCAGAGGCUGUGGAAGAAGCCGCUCUAUCAAAUAGGAAGUUGGAGCCCACCAAAAGCUGAGGGUCUCCCCUUCAAGUGUGGCAGGGGAAUAACCCCUAGCUGCCAUGGACCCAAAUCCUCCCCCACUAUGAUUGAAGGUUUCUAGUACCUUCCAUUCCAAGCUGAAGUCCACAUGGACCCUGACGGACAGGCUUGGGGUGCCAACUCCCCCAGCCAUGAGACAUCGAUUCCUUAUCGGGAAGAAGACAGCCUCACCGCGCCAUGGAGUGUUGCGAAUGGAUCUCCAUUCUAGGAGAACGAAGGAUCCCCCUUGUAAAGGGAGAGAGAGGUAGGUCACCCCCUGGCAACCUCCGCUCAUAAAGUCAAAUAUCAAUUAGGGAAGUGUCACAUAAGAUGGUUUUAUCCAUCAGCAAGGAAUCCGAAUCUUGUGCCAUUAUGGAACUAUCAUUCCCAAGGCAUGUGACGAUUGAAGCAAUAUGCCCUCAAGAUUUCAUGAAAGCAGCUUUUCAGAAGAGAUUCUUAAGAGAUCUUGAAUAACCCCAGCUUUUAUAAGAACCCGUGAGGGCCCUAUCUCUCAUGAUACUAUUAACCACAUCUGGAGCUUUGGCUCCUAACCAUCUCCAAUGCAAAGUUAAAAAGCACCAAGUUCGGAUUACAUAAUUGAAUAGAUCAAGGAAAAGAGAAACGACAUAGAUAAAAUAUGAGACUUUAACUUAAAGCUUUUUAUUAGUAAACUUGUCCAAUUAUAGGAGUCAAAUUGUGAAAAACAAACGACUAUAGCGAAUGAUAAUAAAAAAUAAUAUAUGCAUUGAUUAUAUGGGAGGUCCCCCUCCUGUUGACAAAGCAUUGGCAUGUUGCAAACUCGGGGCAUCUGAAAUGGUAGGGGCAUCCUUGAUGGUCGAAAAUUCUUCAAUAACUAGGACACCCUCGAUUGCCAAGCACCCAAAACUAGUAUCGCCAAUAUCAAGCAUCUUACGGAGGCCGGUGUCCAUUUUGGAAAAAAGCUAGGCAAUUAGGACCUUGCACUCCCCAAAGCCAGCUUUGAAGGCCUCCAUAGAUGCCUUCAUGGCCUGGAACUCUGCCUCCCCUUGGCAAGCAACAAGCAGGGAUUCCAGGCAUUUAGCUUUUGACUCGACAAAUCUGCCUACCGCCUCACUCCCUAUCAAUCUAAUUUGAAGCUCAACCAUCCCCGAUCUCUCUUUAUUCAUAGUCCAAAGGAGACUAUCGACCACUCCAUGGGCCAUGGCAAGCUCGCUUUGAAGUUUAGCAACUCUGGACCACUCUUUUUUUAAUGACCGAUCAAGAUUGUCGAUUAUCAUUCAAGCCAAAUGAAGCUCGCUCUGUAGCUGAUUUGUCUUGGCGAACAAGCCCCAUCUGGUCUUGCUGGUUGUCCUGGCAAGUUUAUCUCGCUCGUUGAUCAAUUUGUAUUUUUUGGUGAGAUAUUAAAUGCAGAUCUGCCUGGAGCAUGCCCUCAGUCAAUCUAUCUUGGUCGAAGCCUCAUCAUAUUUUUUCUUCAUCCUCAAAGAUUUUUGCUUGGUUUCGGCCACUUCUCUUCUAGCCUUCUUAAUACAUUUUUUGAGAACUUUGACCUGGGGUCUUAUCGGUAGGACUGUCAUCACAAACGAAGCCCCAGUGCAAUAUUUACAUCGAUCGAACUGAGACAAACACACCACAGCAAUCAUAAGUCGAAGAAAGAGGUAAAAUUUAUCUUUUUCAUUAACAUAAAAAUAUUUUAUUACAUCAGCAAGAAAAUAAAAAGAAAAGAUAUAAAAUCUAAGUAUCUACAACCUCGGUUGGAGGACCGAUGGAGGAACUUGGAGCAUCUUCGGUGGGCACCGAUGGCAAUGAAGCUUCAGCAGCAGUAGGAGCGGGUGCGUACCUAGAUAGCAUUCCCAAGUAGGUGUAGGGUUGGAAGCCGAAUGUUCGAAAGCCAGACCUUCUGUGGCUUCUUUUUCUUCACGCUCCUCUACCUCCCCUUUCUUUUUGUCCAGAAAGGUCAAGUCAAGGUCUGAGAAGUGCACCGUGAUCUUCUUGCAGUAGUCAUCCUGUCCUAUGCUGUAAGUCUCAUGGUCGAACUUGACCUUCACCCGAAAAUUUUCUUUGACUCCCGAAAGGCUUCAACUGCCAGAUGCCUAGCUUCAAUGACCUGGCUCUCCACUUUUUUCUCUUCCUUUGUCGCCUUGUCCCGGUCUACCCGUUGCCUCUUCUUUCUGAAAAAUGAGCUGGACUUGGCCUUCUCCUUAGCAGCUUUGGCCUUGUCUAGCACCUUUCUUCGGUGCUUGGUUUUAGCCUAGGCAGCUUUGGUUUUGGAUCGGGCCUCAGUUGUGGCAGCCUCCGUGCCUCCACCUUCUUCUCUGCCUCGGUGGCAUCCAACUCAACGACCCAUAGCAAAUUGGCAAAAGCAAUAAUGUGAUGGCCCAGCUGCAUGAGAAAAGAAAAAGAAAAAAGUGGGGGCAGGGUCAAGCAUUGAAGGUGAAAAAAAAAGAAGAAAAGAUUGCAAAAGAAGAAGGAGAGCUCACUCGAACAAAGAAAGUUAUGACUUUCCUCUGCCACCUCCUGAUACCUAACUCCCUGAUCCUAUUGAGAUCGGUGUCGAUGAGCAUCCUCUCGAUUAUAGGGUAGGUGGUCUUCCAAUCCUCAAAGGUCGCACCCACCAUAAACAUGGAUGGGACCUCCCCUCGCCUGAUGGAUGCUUCGGUAGAGCUCUGGCUCGACCGACAAGCAGAAGCACCCUCGACCUGGGGGGCAGGAAGAGCCAUGAGCAAUGGAGGACGAGAUUGGAUUGGUGGAGCAGAUAUCGCCUCCACUUGAGUAGAAGUGGGAGGGAUCAUCUCUCCUUGACCAGCUUCAGAGGGCCUCUGCUUCUUUUGGCCCCUGUCGGUUGUUGAUGAGAAUGCCUUCCUCUUUUUCUAUGUGUUCUUCCUCCUCGGUGCCUUGAGCUCUUUAGGCUUCAUGUCUACGACAGAUCGAAGUAAGCUUAAAACAAAAGAAAAAGUGGAAGAGAGGAAAGAAAUUAGAUGCCAUAAGACUCUUAAACUGACCUCUAGGGUUGAUCGGACUAGGACCGAUACGGAAGAGAGUCUGCUCUGGUAGCAACUUCUUCAGAACAGAAAUGUUGUACUCCCUAAGAUUUUGGAGCACUCUAAGUCCUCUUCUCCCAGCUUUGAGACCUGAAAAGUAGAGUCCCUCGACUGAUCUCAAUAGAAAAACCUAAGAUACUUGAUGAAAGGGUCCGAAACAAAUAAAAAUCGACCCUUUCACUCAUGGAUCGAAGAUGGGGCCCCAUUGAUUAGGAUGGAGACCCCCUUGGGUGGCGAGACAUACUAUCAAUCUUCGGUCCAUCUCUCGAUGGUAUAAAAGGAUUGAAAAAGGAGAAUCGAGGAUUGGACUCUAACCAGGAGGCAAAUGGCGAUGAAACCAAUAAUAAAGCAAAAGGAGUUGGGGAUAAUAGAGUAAAGAGAGAUAUUAAAGAAACAAAAAAUUUCUACAACAAAAGGAUGAACGGACAACCUGAAACCAACUAUGAAUGAUUCUUUAUAUAGAUCGAUUCUACCAAGUGGAUGAUCAUCGAUUCUACAGCUGGGCCCUGGGGACUCCAACUCGAACGAGAUUGAGAUCCCAUAUUGGGCCCGUAUCAUAUCCAAAUUUUUCGAAUUCAGUAUGGACUUGAUGGCAUCGGGCACCAAAGAUGGUUCACCCUCAUGCCCAAUGUUAGAAUCGAUGGGGUCAUCGUCUGAAGGAAGAGAGAACCUAAAAGAUCAACUCUCACUAAAGCCCUCGGAAUCAACCAUCAAAAGACGAAAAAAGAAAAAUGAGAAGGAGAACCGGCCAAGAAAAUCAAAGAAAAAUAAAAAGGAAGGAGAAAUCAAAAAUCGGUAGGGGAACGAUAAGACCCACUAUGAUGGUAUGGGAGACGAGAAUAGCUAACCGAGAGAGGUUAUCGGAGGAAGUCGCUAGCAACUCGAGGAGACUGGGGGAGGCAGCCAGAAGGAGAAUUUCUCUAAGAGCUUGAAGGAGGCCAAAAACUUUGUCAGAAAGAAAAGAAAAACUUUGAGAGCAUAAGAAAAGCCAAAAAGAAAAUGCUACCCUUUUUUAUAGGCACAGUGAAGUUAGUACAUCCUGGAUACUAAAUUCCUCCUGACCGUCAGAUAGCCAACAUCUGGUGCACCCCCAUUGGCCAGCAGAAGUCGACAGAUAGCCCAUUUAUGAGUGACACUCGGAACGAAGCACGUCGUCCUUCGAAUCUCGUAAAUCCAUCCUAUCUUCUUUAUUUAUGAUUAACCCCUGACAUGACCCCUCCUUUCUUCGAAAAGACACAGACGCAUCAUUCUAGCGGCAACGAUAGCAUGUCUUCAGCGGCCACAGAUCGGCUUACUCCUAUCAUCCAAAUCCUCUCCGAUUCAAACUCGAGAGGAGGGGGCAUGUGUUGGGGGGUAGUAUGUCGCCCAUAUCGCAGACUCGCGGUAGUAGGAAAACUUACUUCAGUCUGAUCCAAUUCCCACCCUUCAAGAUCGCUACUACAGCACCAAUCAAUGGUGAAUGAGUACAAUUCUAGUGAUAAAUAUAUCAUCCCAGAACUAUGGAGGAAGCUACAUCGAAAGAAGUCAUUCGAUAUAUAAUUGAAGCAGUAGGCCUCACUUCGGAUCCAGCUAAUCUCCAUCUUCUCACUGGCCCCUUCGGAUGAAGCUCCUGUAUCGGUUGGUAGAAGGUCUAGCCAAUUCUGACUUCCUCCAUUGGCCCUAACUUCGGCCAUUGAACUUGGCUGCGGCUGCCCAUCAUGGCUCCGCCCAUGGGUCCCUAGCCACUGGCACUAGGGUGACACCCAGACAUUCGGCAUCGAUCUAAGAAAGGACCUGAACCCGAUAUCAUCUCCUAUCGAAGGAUCCCACACAAAUUCCUGCUUCUAGCCGCAAGCUACCCUUCCUUCAACACUAGCUGGCUAUCGCAAUCGAAGAUGUCAACCUCCAUGCCGUCACAUCAAAUCGUAUAAUUUCAUGUGGGGCCAUACCACUCCAACGGUUGGCUGCGUGCCAAGAGGCCCUAUCAAAUCAAGCCAUCCUAUGAGUGGCUAACUGCGUGCUAGAUAAGGUGACGUUCGCCAUCAAAGUCCAAACUGGGAGGAAUGAUUAUUUGGACCACGUUCAGAUAAACCACCUAAGUCUCAAGCGAAUAACACACCACUGCAAUUCUGUAUUUCAUAAAUCCGGAUAUCGUGGGUGAUAUGGAUGAAGAGACCAGAAUAGUCUUCCAUCAUUUUUUCUCUUAUAACUUUCGUCUCUCUAUAAAUAGAGAUAAAAAGGAAACCCCCACGUAUACACAUACAUGCACCCUCUAUACCUCUCGCUCUUCUUCUCUUCUAUUAUAUUUUUUUGAUUUGGGCGCUGGAGGAUCCCUGUCGGAACUAACUCCGAUUGGGACUUGUUUUGUAGGUCACCCCGCACCAAUCAUCUCUGGCCACCUCCAACCACCCCAACUGGAGUUAGGAAUCUUUUGCAACAGAACACAAAAUGGAUAUUUAUGGAUUUGUAUUUGGGAAGGUUAGCAAACUACAUUCAAGUUGCAAUUUUAUCAAAAUGGUCCAAAUCUAGCUGCACGUACUUGAACUUGAAUUGGCUCAAGCUUAUUUCCACGUGAAUCAGGUCACUAACACACUAAUUUGCUUCAGGCUUCAUUAGCCAAGUGAAUAUUUUGAAGAGAAUUUUGGUUCAGGAUAAAUGGGCGUCCAAUUAGCUGAACAUAACUUUGCUUAUGUGAACAAAUGAAAUAUCUAGGCCAGUUAUGGUGUGCCCCAGGGAUGUCCAAGGAAAAUGAGCUCCCUCUCAUUAUCCAAAACAAAUUAGCUCAAAUUUAAGUAGGUCUAGUUCCUUAAUUCGAUUUGCACUUGCAUUUGAAGAGGAUUAAAUUGAAUUUAGAGUGUGUUUGGUUUGCACUUGGAAUUGGAAUGGAAAUUGGAAUUGCUAUAUUCCUCAACGUAUUUGAUUCGUGAUUAAAAUUGAGAUCCAAAUAUGAUUUGAAUACUAAGAAAGAGUUUUGAUUAGGUUUUGGGGGAUCGGAGCAUUCUCAUUCUUCUUUGAAAUUAGAAUGGAAAUGGGACUCUCCCAACUAAAUGACUAGAAUGAGAACCAUUCAUUUCUGCUUUUAUUCUAGAGCUUGACUCUAUCCAACCAAAUAUGCUUUCUAUGUAGUUGAAAUACAGAUGAAUUUGGACACAAUCUCACCUUAAUUUUUAAGUAAGAGCAUGGUGACGAGCUUUCGUAGAGAUAAAGUUGGUCACAAAAGUCUCAAAAAUCUGGAAGUUAGACCACUGAUUCUUUGCAUAGCUCAGCUAUAGCUGACUUUUUCAUUUUCAUUUUCUGUUUAAAACUAAAGUGCUGAUGCUAAACUCUAUCUAAUUCCAUAUAAUAAAGAUGAAAUACCGGGCGACACGGACUUUUAUUUGUUUCCUCAUAAGAAUAAAUCCAUGUACACCAUACCGCUUGCUAAUUCUUAACCAAGAAGCAUCCACCGUAGAAAACCUGCUAACCAGAAGUCAAAAGAUUAAAGAUCACCGUGAUUAGAUUGCAGAGUAAAAUAUAAUCACAUGUAUAGACUUGCAAGUCAAUCAACUAGGAGUCUUUGAAAAAGGUUCAUCAACUCAUCAGGGGAGCUCCCAAAUGAGCCAAAUAUUCAACACCUCAAGUGCAUUUCAUCUCCCCACGUGUCAUCACCAUGCCUCGGUGCCGCUACUCGAGCCGCAUUGCUAGACUGCCUUGUCCUGCUCUUCCUUUGGGUCGUUUUGAUCCUCCUGAGCACAGACCUCCAAUACUCCUGGUUCACCGUGAUCACACCAUCCAAUCCCUCUAUACUAUGUAAUUGCCAUUGCAAUCAUACAUAUGAAUAAAUAUGGGCAAGGGAGUUGUUGUGGUACAAAAGGGAGGUCUUCAUUAGUUCCACAUUAAUUAUCAAUUAAGAGGGACUCUGGUUAAUAUAAGAGGAAACCAUGCUUCCCAUGUGAGAUGCCUUUUAAAAGAUAAAACUAUAAAACCCAUGGAUCAGAACAGAUAAUACCUUACAUAUCGAAUUAUGAGUCCUUGAUUGUAAUAUUGACACCCAUCAUAGAGUGCAUGCAUCUCUUUCGGAUUGUGGGGCUCCUAUCCAUACAUCAAUCUACAUAGACUCCUCUCUGACUAAGGGGUUAUGUUGUGGUAUAGAGAAAAGGACUUCAUUAGUCCCAUAUUGGUUAUGACCAAUGAGUCAGAACGGAUAAUAUCUCACGUAUUGAGUUAUGAGUCUUUGAUCGUAAUAAGAGUUUUGUAUAUGUACCUAAAAUUUUUAUGUAAAUACCGGAGGGUUAGCCCAUGAAUCACAAUUUACAGUUUUUAGGCUGGGUGGAACGAGCAGGGUCGAAAUAACUACACGAGGUUUUUCUGUUUUGAUUUGAUGAGUGAUGCUCUACGCACCUUGGGCUCCGCUCCCAAGUGCCAACACGCUAGCACGGGCUUAGAAGAGGCUUUGGCGACUGUCUGGGAUGGACAAAGCAUUUUCCAAAUUCAUCAUUAGAAGUGACAUUGCAAUCUCAAAUGAACCGCCUUGCUGAAGUAUAAUUAACCUUUCUAAGCCGGGUUACCAUGAGGAUGCCGCUCACCCUACUUUGCUAGGUCCAAGGGUGAUGAUGGCCUUUUCAUUAUGUUUUUUGAAAUAAUUCAAUAUAUAUAGAAAGACGUCAAUAGUCAGCGGAUUGGAUAAUUUUACGUAUAAUUUGUAAUGACCCGGCCCAAAAUUUUCUCCUACAUGAAUCUCAGAGCAAUGAUGGAAAAGGGUUAAAAACAAUAUUGGACCUCGAUGGGGCAGGCGAGGUGGAAGAGGAGGACUCUCGAUGGAAGUCAGCCUCUUCUCUAAUUUUGGCAAGGAAAGGGGAGUUUGAAGCACGUUGGACUCUAACAAUACCUAGAUUCAAUCUAUAAAAGACCUCUACUCUUUCAUUUGUGGAUCUCAUUGUUGAGACCCUAGUCAAUCUUUGCCAAUAUUAUGUUUGAGUUUUCUUUAAUCAGCCAAAAAACCUCGAUAUGUCACCAUCGAUUUUUCACCAGAGUUGAGGUAUUGACCUCAAACUCUUCUCCUUCUUUUCCUUUCUAACCCCAAGACCACCAUUGACUGUCAAAUUGGUGCUAUUGGCAGCCGAAUUUCAUGGUGAAUAGGGCUUUCCCUUAUUCCUUUCUCCUAUUAUUUUUUGGCCGAGCUGGCCACCAUUGCUGGAUAUGGCCAUGCUUGGACUGUUGAGGGCUAUCGCCAUUGCUGUUACAACCAAGAGUCAUUGCUGGUUGUGGUCGCUAUCAUGGGUGUGGUUGAUCCUAAAUUUCCAUCUUCCCCUGUUUCCCACAAAGAAGAAGGGGAAAACAAGAAGGGGGGGAGGAAGGGAGAGAGAGAGAGAAAAAUUUUUCUUCUACACACCCUCUCUCUCUUUUGUUUUUUCUUAAGAUAUCUUCUGGACUAGUGGAGGAUUCAGAUAUCUAGGCAAUCUAGAUUGAUUGAUUGAUUGUGAGAAGGAUCCUAGAUAUAUAGUAUUGUAACCACCUAUUUUAUUUUUUUUAAAUUGUUCACGAUCUUCUAUGAUUUUUAUGAUUGAUCUUGAUUAUGUACAGAUGCAACUAUUUGCACCAAAAGAUGUCAAGCGGAACAUCUUAUUUUCGAGUUUACAAAUCGAAGAGUUUAUCAAUUUCUAUGCUCGUCUGAAAUCAGUAGAGAUAAGGGUUCUUUAACAUGAUCAUCUACAUAUUUAUGAAAAAUUAUGUCUAUAUGAUUGAUAUAUAUUCUAUACCUAUCGAUUUGUGUAUUAUACGCUGUUAAAUCGAUACUGCUUGAAUUAUAAUUAAUUGAUACUUAAUAAUUAUCGAGCAAGAAAAAUAUGAUUUAACAUAUUUGAUGUAGUGUAGGCAGUAUUUGGAUUGGUCAGUCAUAUAAGAAACGUAGUGUAUAUACUAGAUCAAUCUUGGAUUAGGAUGCAACAUUAUUUUUAGCCUGCUAUGAGCUGAAGCAUGACCGUGACUAAUCUAAUAUCAAAAGUUAGAUUAUAACUUUAAUAAUAUGGACGGGGCAUGGACGAUGUUUGGAAUAAUUGGUCAUGCAAGAAAUGUGGUGCAUGUGUUGGGUUAACCUUGGACUGAGAGUAACACAUGUUUGGCCUACCAUAGACUGGAGCACGGUUAUAAUUAAUUUCAAUAUCAAAAAGACAAACAUUAAUUUACAUAAUUGUAAGAGUGAAAAAAAGGAGAGCAUGUGGCCUAGUUGGUCAUGUGUGAAGCAUUGCAUAUCAAUCGUAGACUGAGAUAUGAUUCAUGGUUGCUAGCCAUAGACAGAGAUAUGGUGUAUGUUUAGCUUGCCAUAAAUUGGAGCAUGAUUGUGACUAAUCCAUUAUCGAAAUUAAAUCAAGAUGAUGAGCUGUGUCUCAUUAAAGGAUAUUUGAAUUAGCCAAUACACGUGAAACGUAAUAUUUAUGAUGUCAGCCGCAGGUUGAGAUGUCGUUGUUAGCCACAAGCAGAAACAUGGUGUAUAUUUGGCCUGUCAUAGGUUGGAGUGUGAGCGAAUCUAGUUUAGUGCUGAAAUAAUAAUAUUGUUAAGAUCAAAAUUGAGUUAACCAGUUAAUGAUAAGAAACUCAAUGAAUGAUUGCUGAAUAGAAUUGUUGAUUGAUGAUAUGUGAUAUAAUGAAUAGAAUUGUAAUGAUAUUAUUUGAUUAUCAAAUUGAUGGUGUAUGAAUUUUAUUAUUUUUUUUAUCAAUUUUAUAUAUAUUUGCUAAAAAAUGUUCUAUAUUCAUGCUAGCAUGAGUAUGGGGAUUCUUACUAGAUUUUAAAAAGUAUGCAAUUCUUCUUUUUUUUUUUCAGAAUUGCAGGACACAUAGUUUCAAAUGGAUUUGAUUUGAAGUUCGAGCGACCAUGUUAUCUUAUAAGCCUUGCAUGAUCUCUAAAGCUUUAUCUUAGAUCUCAUAUGGCUGUGUCACAUGAUCGAUUUAGAUGCUCGAUUCGAGAUAUAAUAUAUUUACUAUUUUAGAAUGGUAUUUUAAAGCCCUACAUCUUUGUUGUCUUCUCAGUUUCAUAAUAUUUGUACUAGGAUACUAAUACCUGCAUGUCCGACGAUAUAAUUUUGCUGCCUUAUAGAAUAAUUUAAAAAAAUAUAUAUAUAAUUAAUGCGAAGAGAUUUUUAUUUUCUCUAUUUUUGGGCGAAGAAGUAUUCGUUAUUAUUGGAUAAUUUUUUUAUAAUCAGACCGACUAUAGAAGAAAUUAUGAUCCAACAUGCUUCGAAAAUAUCUAUCAAAAGAUGGGUAGCGGUGUACACUUACACGACUAGUUAAAAUAUCAAGAAAAGAGUUUAGAUAAACAUCACAUAACCAUUCUUUUUUUGAUAGAUGUCAUAAUAUAUGCAUGUGACAGAUGAUAACGGUCUAACUAUAAUUCUUUUCAUAAUCGAUCUGAUUAUAAAAAUUUUUUUAUUAUUAUUAUUUUUCUUAAAAAAAUAUUAUUAUUAUUAUUAUUAUUAUUAUUAUUUUUGGGGAUCCAUCUAAGUUCAGCAACGAUGGGCCUUUCCUCGCAUGGACGUGGAGAGGAUCCCAACCUUCUAUUUUAUGAUUUUAUCUAAGCGUGUAUAAAAGGGCAAGAUUCCUCAAUCGAUCAAACAUCCGUCCCUCUUGUACCACAUUUUAUCACCGCAGGUAGAAUGGGUCCGCCACGGCCGCCACCACGCCAGCCAGAACCCCCGCCACCGCCGCCACCACCCAGGCCAAGAUCGCCACCACCGCCCAGGCCGAGAUCGCCGCCCCACAGGCCGCCGCCGCCGCCGCCGAGGCCCAGACUCCACCACCACCGCUACCCAGACCGCGACCCCCGCCACCCAGCCUGCCGACCCCCGCACCGACCGCCGCCACCGAGGCCCCCGCAUAGACCGACACCCUCUCCAAGACCGCAACCCCCGCCCAGACCGUUGCCACCGCCCAGCCCCUGGCCGGGAUCUUCGCCAUCUCCCAGGCCGCCGCACCCUGGACCUCCACCGCGCCGAUCAUAACAGCCUAGGCCGCCACCGUCCCCCUGCCCGCCUUACCAUGAUCAUGUUGUCCACUCCCUCACCAGUAUGGCUUGCUAUGGCAAUGGCAUAUAGAACAAAUCUUUAGACAUCUCAUGAAAAUAAGUACUAUUUCUAUCAGAUAGAGACCUCUUGCUGUUUGAUUCGUGGAUUUGUUGGAGAAUGCAAUGUUAUCCUGAAAGAUUGUGCAUGACCGAUCCAGCUAUGAAGUUGGACUUUGUAUCUGUUGAAGUGUGUGGGUGAGACAUAUGUACCAUACGACCAGUGUCCCAGAAUGUUUGCCUCUUAGAACAGUUAAAAGUCUUGCAUCAAAUAAGACUGCAGGUGAGAUUGGGGCAUUCUCUGUUCUUUGUUUGCAUCAUCUCCUCGUAUUUUUUACCCACAAGCAAUAUACGUUAUGUGCAUACAAAUAAUAGAUACAAGGGCUUUGGUAUUGUUGUUAGCAGGGAAUUAACUUGAUACGUUGUGAAUGAUUGAUUGUUCAACGACGAUGAUGCUUAGUGCUUGGCUUUGUUUUGAGUAAUGAUCUUCAAACAGGUGCAAAGUUGUGAGACUUGCAGUGAUGCAUCUUGUUCAUGCGUUAAACUCCUUAUCUUCCAAUUUAUAGACUGUGGCUUCAUAUCCUGUCAUGAUGUAAUUCUCCAUGAUAUCCUUUGUUCACAUUUUUUUCCUAAAGAAAGAAGAAAAACCUCAAAAAGAUCAUCUGACAUCCCAUAUUUAUAUAACGUAAUGAUAUGUUGGUUUCCACACCCACUUAUUCGGUCUCUUCCCCUGGAUAGGCUCUCCCUGUCAUGUCCCUGACUUCAUUUUUGUAUGUGCAUCCUUUUUACAACCAAUACAGUACCUCUAAAUAUUACGAGGAAGAGAAAGAUUAGAUCAUAAAUAAAAUCAUCGAGAUCAAAUUGGAAAUAGAUUAAACAAUUCACUCCCCUUUUUGGUUGGAUGAAAGAUAGGAAACCCUUCGCCAAUCCACUAAUAUAUGGAUCAGAUGGAAACAGGAAAACAGGGGAGAGCAGGGACAGGAGAAGAUGGAAAGCUGCAUGACGUGAAGCACCCAGAGUAUUGCUCUUUAAGCUCAUCAUUCAGGACAGAAACCAGUGAAGAGAAGGAGAACCAAACAAAGCUCCAUAAUACCUUUGGAAUGGCACUACACCUUUUAUUACAUAAGUCACGUAACAAGCAGAAGUCAGAUACCGGCUUCAACAAAACCAAAACAAAAGGGGACAAAGACCAUCCAACCUUCCGUUAUUAAUGCAAUCGUGUAUAGCCUCCUAAUUUAUUCACACUAAAUACUUCUUUCUAUCAUUCCCUCCUCAACAACUACGGUGUUUUCCAACUUGUUGCAUCUGCUCCUCCUGGUCGUGGACGCUACUCUGUUGGGACUGCUUCGUUCAAUAAUAAGGUGGUGGCGGUGGAGGGUAAGGCCCCGGCGGCGGUGGGCGUGGCGGAGGCGGUGCGUAAGGAUCGAAGAAGGCAGGUGGUGGAGGGGGCCCAGGUGGGCCUGGUGGUGGUGGUGGUGGUGCUGGUGAUGGCGGCGGUGCAGCGAAGGGGCUCGGACCGGGCGGCCAUGGUCCUGGUGGCGGUGGGGCAUAAGGACCUGGCGGUGGGGCAUAAGGAUCUGGUGGUGGUGGAGCGAAGGGACCGGGUGGCGGCGGCGGUGGAGGGUACCGGCGGCGGUCCAUGAGAGUAUCUGACCGAAGAUUGCGUAGAGAGAUGGCUUUGAAUUUGGCUUGUGCCUUCUUAUAUAAUGGUAAUGGAAGAAGGGUGGGAAGCCUUGACACGGCUGUCUUCUUGACCG